rnacentral:lncRNA from 1 species
GCUGACUGGGGAUUGAAUUACAGAAGCCGUGAAAUCAGUGAAACUCCUUGAGAUGAUCAAGUUGGAAGGGCAGUGAUGCAUGCUUUCUCUGUUGACAAGACUGACAUCAUUCUACUGAACAUGGACAGGGACGCAAAGAGGCCAUAACAGAAUUUGUCUGGAGAUGGUUAUUUGCGGUUAUCAAGAAACAAGGAACAUCUGAGAAAUUGUCAUCGUCUAGAGGAGCCUAAGGAGAUAUAUGACUAGAGUUCUUCAUCUUUAAUCCCAACCCAAACAAGGCUGUAGAUGGAACUCAUCAACAUCGUGACAGAGAAGGUCAA